ensembl:ncRNA C15H7.6 ncRNA
ACAACCGUCUCAGGUCAGAGUCAGAGUCAAGUCACGAACCGAACUGACCGCUGAGAAACGAAGGGAGCUCCCACAAGUCAAACACGUCGGCGCGCUCUCCUACAUGCUUCACUAUUUCCUAACAUUUUUAGAGUACGG